GAUGAACGCUGGCGGCGUGCCUAAUACAUGCAAGUCGAGCGAACAGACGAGGAGCUUGCUCCUCUGACGUUAGCGGCGGACGGGUGAGUAACACGUGGAUAACCUACCUAUAAGACUGGGAUAACUUCGGGAAACCGGAGCUAAUACCGGAUAAUAUAUUGAACCGCAUGGUUCAAUAGUGAAAGACGGUUUUGCUGUCACUUAUAGAUGGAUCCGCGCCGCAUUAGCUAGUUGGUAAGGUAACGGCUUACCAAGGCAACGAUGCGUAGCCGACCUGAGAGGGUGAUCGGGCCACCUGGAACUGAGACACGGUCCAGACUCCUACGGGAGGCAGCAGUAGGGAAUCUUCCGCAAUGGGCGAAAGCUUGACGGAGCAACGCCGCGUGAGUGAUGAAGGUCUUCGGAUCGUAAAACUCUGUUAUUAGGGAAGAACAAAUGUGUAAGUAACUAUGCACGUCUUGACGGUACCUAAUCAGAAAGCCACGGCUAACUACGUG
rnacentral:rRNA from 1 species